ACCCCCAGAGUUGGACACGACUAAUAAUAAUAAUAAUAAUAAUAAUAAUAAUAAUAAUAAUAAUAACUUUAUUCUUGUAUCCCGCCUCCAUCUCCUCGAAGGGACUCAGGGCAGCUUAGCAUUACAUACAAUAGUAAUUAAAACAAUAAUUUAAAUCAAUAUAGCAAAGGUAUAAACAACAUAACAUAACAGUUACUUUAAAAGCCUGAGCGUCGAUUGCUACAUACAGCAGAGGGUGACUAGUGCAAGAGCUCCGAAAGAUCCAUAGGUAAAAUCAGGGCAAAUAGGGAAAGAACAAGGGAACAGUUCUAUUAAAGUGAUAAAACACAUAGAGUGAGGAACAGUGUUAAAGUGUCAUACAUAUUUGUAAACAGAUUGCAUGUCUGAUGGGCUUAUUCACUCAAACGCUCACUGGAACUUCCACGUUUUCAAACCUUUACCUUUACCUAUCCUGUGCUGGCUUUUUGUACCAUGGAAGUGAUGAACUAUUGCUCAAGUUUUGAAGUAACCCUUUUGGACUUUAGCUUUUAAUCCUUUUUAUUGUUUGGCUAUUUUAUAUAUUCUUCAAUAAACUGCUUGCUAAUAAUACCCAGCUGCUGUGGUGUUAAUUGGUCAAAAGGUGUAGUUCUGGUCUACAACACAAGGAAAGGAAAAGAUUUGUGUUUUUCACCUUCAAAAACAUACCAAAGCCUUUUUUAAAAAAAACAGUAUAUUUACACUAUAUACUGUAGAACAUUUUUUCUCAGGCUGAUGUGGAGGGCUGGCAAUUAUUAUUUUCCAAUGUACCAAGUAUCAGUAUUGAACUUGUUCCUAUUGGGUACAAUUGUUUCUUUCUUUCCUGGAAACAUACCAGGAAUCAAUAGCCAGUGGCUCAGAGACCAGCACCAAUCCACUGACCCAUGACUUUAGGGACAGGAGUUUUAUUAUUUUAAUUAUCUCCUUUAUUUUUGGAUUAUUUUUGUCAAACGUGUGCAUGUGUGAUGCUGACAGCAGCUGCUUAUAUGAUCAAAAUUCUUUAAGUGGAGAAUAAGAUAUGGAAUGGCCCAAAUAAUGAUAUUAAAAGCAUGUGACUGUGGAUUUUUAAUUGAAAUAGGCAAAAGGCAAGGGAUGCAAUUAUAGGCAAACAAGGCCCCCCAACAGACAGGUGCCAGAGCCAGGAAUAGAAUCCAGGUGUUUAGUCUGGGAAGCUCCCAGGCUAUUAAUUGGACACCCACUGAGCCCCUUUCCUUACUCUUUUAUGAACUCUCUUAUGGCUCUUGCUUCUGCCUGCAGUUUGUAUUACUGAAAGUCUAAAAUACUGGCUGAAGGUUAGACAGAUGCAGCCCCGCACAGACAGAUCUCUAGGUGUGUGCACAGCACCCAUAAAUAAGGGGAAUGCCACUGGAUGUGAUCAUUGUUGUGCCCCGGGGAGGAAACAGCUAUUAGAGCACUUACCGACAUAGCAUUGUGUUACCUUGAUAAGCCUGCUGGAGCUAGUGGUGGCUACAAGAACCAGAAAAUUGCUGAUUACUUCUUUCCCGCUGGGGUUGUUUGGAAUUACCUGCCAAUGCAUUCUUGCAGUGGAGAGAGAGAGAGAGAACAAGUGAGAGAGCUGCUCAGCACGGGGAAGGGGGGAUAUGGUGAAAAGACAGGGUUGUGCCGCUCUUGUAUGCACUGUGAUGGAUUGCAGAAGAUUUGUCCUUGCUGAUAACUUGGGCACCAAGGCAUAGCUUUCUCCUGGUGGGACAUUGUAGCUCACCAGCUUUAGAGACAAGAAGCAUGUUGAAGCUCAUCUAAGAGGCUAGUUGGUGCAAUCCCGCCAAGGCUAGUCCCUCAUUAUUUAAAAAAGGAAAAAUAAUACACUCAGAUACAUGUGUUUUCUACAGUGAUGCUCCUUAAAGCCUCAAUCUGUCAACAAUGCCAUAUACUGUCCUGAGGUAAUUAACAGGGAUAAUAAAAUGAAUUGUGUAGGAAAUGAAAGCUCAACAGGUAGGUUUCAGGAAAAACAUGGUUUCCAAAUCAUUUCAUUGGUAUGGUAAUAUGAGAGAAAGGAUGGUAAUGUGCUAAUUUCUGCACUAGGAACUCAAUAUGACAUAGGCGAACAUGGUUGACAAGUAAGGAUGUGGAUUAGACUUCCAUGAAUCCUAAUGUCUGAGCUUAAUCAGACCUCAUUUGACCAGUUUUUGUGCUUCUUGAAGUGAAGCAGACAUUCCUCUGAAGCUGACACAACUGAAACGGAUCCACCUCCACAUUUACAUGGAGCAGGUUCAGCUGAAUAAAAGGCUUCUUGGAGAAACACAUGGAAAACAAAGAAGGUACAUAAGCAGUGACUGCAGCACUAUGAAAUUAAAGACAACUCAAUCCAACUAUGGAAGAACAGAUGGCUGGCUAUGGAAGCAACAGAAGAGGCUCCCCUUUGCAAUGAGCAUCCACCACUGGAUAGUAAAUUUAUAAGAAUUUUUUUACUAGUAAAACUUGAAAGCUGAUCAUAAAACACAAGGAAAAGGAUGUAGAACAAGCCUGAUGUUCACUUCCCCCUCCUGCUUGCCUGUCAACUGAUGAAGCCAAGUGUCACCUUACAGACAACUUAAUCCCUUUGGUCAUGCUUCUCCCUUAAGCCAAGGCCACUUGGACUGCAACAGAAGUUUGACAGCUUUGGCUACGUCAACAUCACACCUUGCACAGACAUUGACUCUGGGGAUGGUUAAUUGACCCCAGCAUGGGACCCCUGCACCUGGAACUCCCCCAGACCUCCCUGCUCUGAUGGAUGUUUUGAUCUCUGUAUUUUCCACAAGUUUCUUUACUACAUCAGGCAGAUUGACUUGAUUUUAUCUGGAAAGGUGCCUCUGUUUUCAGUGUAGCUUGCAAAAAUAAGUAAAAUAAAUAACGUACAGCAAAGUAAGCUUUCCUACCUGUUCUUUCUUCCUCCAGACAUAAGCUGGUCCCUGGCCCCUUCACCAAUAUCAUAACUCUGAAGCCAGCAGCUGCCCGCAUUUACCUAGAGAUGUUAAAUCCAGCAGGAAAUGCCAUCACACUUACAAAACUAUUACACCCUGUGGCGAUCAAUAUAAUAUUGGCGUCACUUUCCCAGAGCCCAGUAGCAUGCUGAUGGCUAAGAACAGCCUUAACUGCCCCACGCGGAAGGACCUGGACCGCCAACCAGACACGCUCAGAAAUAGAAGUUGGGCCAGGUGAACGGAUUGAGUGACAGCCAUCAUUCUUGGGAGUUUGGGCAGCUGGCACCCCCAACUGCGCGGCAGCCGCCAGUCACAUGUCUGCACAUGAUUCCCAUAGAAUUGGAGCCACUGGAUGGAAAGUUGCAAUAUGACACACAUCUCUUUGACCUUGGCUGUGGGAACAGCACAAUAGUGACCAGUUCUGGGGCUGUUCUGGAAUGGAUCCAUCAAGCGACUAUCUGAGCACAUCUAUUACUGAUAUACUACAAUUAGGAAAGUGGGAAAGUUGAAAGGCAUAAAUACCAGAUGAGGUGAUUGAUAAAAGCUGCAACACAGCAGUAACAGCGUGGCAAAGAGGCUGACCUAGUGCAUGUCCAACAGAAAGCUAUAUAAGGUCACAAACUUACCACAAGUGAGUCAACCCCAUCAAGGGAAUGCCUUGGAAUAUAACCAAAGAGUAAAAAUGUACUCUCUUGCUCAAGAUCAUAAAAAAACAUCAUGAGUAUGCUCUGGAAUGAAUGCAAAAAGCACAUAUGUCUAGAGACCUGCUCCAUUGCAUAAGCCUGAUGUCAUAGUCUCACAAGGAUGACCAUACAUACAGAUAUAUAAAAUUUGAGCAGCAAGCCCAGUAUGCAAACAGGUGAACAGCAUUUUAUUUAGAUGUUUCAACCUACCUCCUGGACCAAGCUCAGAAAAGAAAUUCAGUUAUACGAGUAUCUUGUUCAAAGAUGGCAUAUGAGAACACAAAUGGUGUUGCUUAGCAUGAAUUGGUUGGAAAUUGGUGACACCUCAAACAUAUCACUCCUCUUUAAGUUGAUGCAGUUAAAGAGACUUGCCAGGACAUAUUUCUGGUGUGUUGCAAAUGGUGGUAGUGGUGGGCUUGAAUUGAGUUCAUAUUACUGGUUAAAGUAAAAUGCAGCAAUCCUGAUUUGCAUAUAUUAGCAUAAUACUUGCAUAUAGUGAUGAUUUGCAUAAUCCAUAUCUUGUUAGUCCCUUCUUCUGUUGGUUACCUCUUUGAAUCUCAGUGACUUCUAUUUUCCUUUCUAUAUUUCUACAUUUGCAUGAGGUUACACUGACAGUCACCUCUCUCCUUUGAAAAGGAAUGUCCUGCUUCCUAUGAUCCCAGACUGAAGCUCUCUCUUCUUUGUCUUGGAGAGACUAAUGAUAAAUCAUGAAGCUUUUUCUUAGUUUACUGAAAAAUGCUUUCAAGUCAAUGUUGUUUUUCAUUUACGACAUAACUGGCAACUCACACCUACAUUUAAAAAACUUGGAAGAUUUAUCUAAAAGCAAUGUAGUAGUUUCUAGUGUUAUUUCUCUUGCUACAUCACUUCCACAACUUGGUGUCCUCCAAAUGUGUUUGAAUAUAACUCCCACCAUUCCCAGCCAGUAUAGUCUGCAGAUUAUGCAAUGCAGUUUUGAAGAAGGAAUUCUUUUAAAGUUUGAUCUUCUAGUUCUAUGGAUUCCUGGAUGGAACAGAUGAUCUAGAUGAAAAGUGGUAUGAAGUCCUUAUCUCACCAACCCCAAUAAUAACAAUAUUAUGUGGGGUGUUUUUUUUUAUGUCAGGAGCAACUUGAGAAAUUUGAGAAAUUGCAAGAUCGUGAUGCAUAUUGUUUUGUUUGUUUGUUUGUUUGUUUUGGGGGGGGGGGUCAUUGAAUGGUUGCUAUAUGUUUGGAAACCACCCUGAGUCCCUUCGGGGAGAUAGAGCGGUUUAUAAUUGAAAAAGAAGAAGAAGAGGAAGAAGAUCUGCUUUGAUAAUCUGGAUUAUAUGGCAGUGUAGAAGGGGCCUAAAUCUACACUAUCAUAUAAUCCAGUUCAAAGCAGACAAUCUGGGUUUUAUGUGGCAGUGUAGAUCCAGCCUAAGAGGCCAAACUCUGUUCCUAAAUAGGUUUAGCACUUUGUAUAUUUUCUUUAAAGUUAACCAGAACCUGGAAUGGAUUCACCAUCUUUCUGAAAUAGAGCCUCCAAAUUGUCACUGUUACCAUGACCCAACUCUUUUGACUUUUGCAUAUUGAAAAGAUUUUAAAAUACUGUUUGCAUCUGAAAGUAAGAGGUUGUAACCUGCAAUUCCAAACCCUUGGGUCCCUAUCACUCACCCUGCCUCAUUUCCCCUCAAGAUCUCUCCCUUGAUCUAAUACUUGAGCCUCAAGGUGAUCUGCCUUCUAUAUGGACCAGUGGAUGAAUUCAAUAGAUUCAAAUGAAUCCACUGCAGUAAGUGUGACUAGACUCUCUAUCAAAAGUGAACAGAAACAGCCAGAUACAUUGUACAAAUAGAAUAAACAAGUGGAAGUUUAUUAAUAUACAAUCAGAUCACGCAUCAACUGCUAAACUAUUUAAUCAUUCACAGUUCCCCAAAAAUUCAGUUCUUGUCCUAGAUGACUGUCUUCUCUGUUACUCCUUUUCUUUUGGCUAGCUUUCCCUUAUUUCUCUACAAUCCUUUCUCCAUCUCUAUGCUAUCUUUCCCCUGUCUGCCUUCUUUCAAAAACAAGUCUCAAUUUUAUAUCUUUUCUCCUUCAUCUCCAUUGUCUUUCAUGGCAUUCCCAAAGCUGUGGUUGGCUGGCACCAAGGAAGCUUGCAGACCUCCUCCCUUCACAGGGGUGUAUCAAUGAAUAGCCAUAACCUCAAAGAACCCCAAAAAGUGAGAGAUGCCUCCUUAUUCUCAAUACUGAACAAAUACUGAAUACUGAAAACCAUAUAAUGGUAUAUUUAGGUACAGAGCUCUCCUAAUUUUAAGAAAGGGGAAUGGCUAAGAUGAGAUGGAAAUACCAUAUCCUAAGAUCGCUAGCAAUUCCCUACAGUAUUGUGGGGAAGAGUGUAGCCAUAAUCUCAGAUAUGAAUGCUAGCAAUCCCAACACAUAUAGCCUUAAUCACACAAACCUUUCUUCAUAGAAAAAUUAUGGCUGUCUCAUAAGGCAAGCAAGACAGUUGCAUUGGAUGUGGGUGAGUGGCCAGCAAGAGGCUAAAAUACAUGUGUGCCACACAACUUGCCCAAAGCAUCCUUAGAUAAGCCUGCUGCCUUCUAGUGUCAACUGAUGUAGUCUCCCAUUGCUAGUUGAUGUUGCUGUGGAUUUCCAGUCCACAUGGAAACAGGCAGUAGCAACAAAAUCUCAUCACUGGACUUCUCUCCAGGGCUGCUACUCAGUAUGGAGUCCGAUCAAGCCAAAGCACUCAUCGAAGAACACAUCUCAGAUACAGAGAGCCAAUUGGAUCUAGCCCACGCCCCAAUCUUUAUUGUCAUUGAAGCCAGCAGAUAUCUCGCCUCCCCCCAUGGCAUACUUAACAAAUCUAGGGGUUCCCAACCAUCGGAGGGCCUUCACCCUAGCUCGAUGUCAUGCUCUUCCAUCAGCUGUACUUGAGGGCCAAUAUAGGAAGACUCCCUACCCAGAGCAACUCUGCCCCUGUGACUAAGAAAUAGAAACAAGAGAGCAUGUGCUCCUCCAGUGCCUGGUCUACAGGGACAUUUGAUCUAGACUCAUCCUGCCUUUGCUAUAUAAUUGCCCAGGCCGUUCAGGACCAUUUUACACCACCCUUCUGCUGUCAGAUACCAACUCAGUUAUAACCUACAAUGCCACCAAGUUUUGUGCAGCAGCACUUAAAAUCCGCCGAUUGAUUAUUUGAUCCAACAGCUAACAAUCCAACUAUCAGCUAACUGAAAUGUAAAUCAGUUAUUUUCACCCCAGUCCCCUGGACUUGUGCCUUGAAUGCUCAGACUCACCCAUCAAUCUCCCUCCCUUUCCAUCCCUUUUUUGUCCGAUCCCUUCUCUAAAGAGUUUUGUGUUUUAGCCUUCAACAUACCUUUGGGGUUUUUUUUUAGCCUUUUAGAUUGUAUGUACAUGCUUCUAUGAGACUCUACCCCACUUAUGCUCGUCUAUGACCGUAAUAAAGAUUUUUAUUUGAUUUGA